UACGUAGGUGGCAAGCGUUGUCCGGAUUUACUGGGCGUAAAGAGCGCGCAGGCGGUCGUUCAAGUCGCGUGUGAAAGCCCCCGGCUCAACUGGGGAGGGUCACGCGAUACUGAUCGACUCGAAGGCAGGAGAGGGUAGUGGAAUUCCCGGUGUAGUGGUGAAAUGCGUAGAUAUCGGGGAGGAACACCGGCGGCGAAGGCGGCUGCCUGGACCGGCCCUGACGCUGAGGCGCGAAAGCUAGGGGAGCAAACAGG
rnacentral:rRNA from 1 species